UCUUGACAUCCACAGAACUUUCCAGAGAUGGAUUGGUGCCUUCGGGAACUGUGAGACAGGUGCUGCAUGGCUGUCGUCAGCUCGUGUUGUGAAAUGUUGGGUUAAGUCCCGCAACGAGCGCAACCCUUAUCCUUUGUUGCCAGCGGUCCGGCCGGGAACUCAAAGGAGACUGCCAGUGAUAAACUGGAGGAAGGUGGGGAUGACGUCAAGUCAUCAUGGCCCUUACGACCAGGGCUACACACGUGCUACAAUGGCAUAUACAAAGAGAAGCGACCUCGCGAGAGCAAGCGGACCUCAUAAAGUAUGUCGUAGUCCGGAUUGGAGUCUGCAACUCGACUCCAUGAAGUCGGAAUCGCUAGUAAUCGUAGAUCAGAAUGCUACGGUGAAUACGUUCCCGGGCCUUGUACACACCGCCCGUCACACCAUGGGAGUGGGUUGCAAAAGAAGUAGGUAGCUUAACCUUCGGGAGGGCGCUUACCACUUUGUGAUUCAUGACUGGGGUGAAGUCGUAACAAGGUAACCGUAGGGGAACCUGCGGUUGGAUCACCUCCUUACCUUAAAGAA
rnacentral:rRNA from 1 species